GACGAACGCUGGCGGCGUGCUUAACACAUGCAGGUCGAACGGUAAGGCCCUUCGGGGUACACGAGUGGCGAACGGGUGAGUAACACGUGGGUGAUCUGCCCUGCACUUCGGGAUAAGCCUGGGGAACUGGGUCUAAUACCGGAUAGGACCCUGGGAUGCAUGUCCUGGGGUGGAAAGCUUUUGCGGUGUGGGAUGGGCCCGCGGCCUAUCAGCUUGUUGGUGGGGUGAUGGCCUACCAAGGCGACGACGGGUAGCCGGCCUGGGAGGGGGACCGGCCACACUGGGACGGAGAUACGGCCCAGACUCCUACGGGAGGCAGCAGUGGGGAAUAUUGCACAAUGGGCGCAAGCCUGAUGCAGCGACGCCGCGUGAGGGAUGACGGCCUUCGGGUUGUAAACCUCUUUCAGCACCGACGAAGCGCAAGUGACGGUAGGUGCAGAAGAAGGACCGGCCAACUACGUGCCAGCAGCCGCGGUAA
rnacentral:rRNA from 1 species